GAAAGAGAAAGAGAGAAAGAGAAAGAGUGAGAGGUGGUAAGGAAAGGAAAGGAAAGGAAAAAAAAAAACGUAAACAACAACAUUCUGUUGCCGGAGAAAUAUCUUUCGUUGCAACGCACUUGACGAUAUGGCGUCGUAGAAAAUUCGAUAACAGAAAAACCUUUCUUCUUCUUCUUCCCGUCUUCAUCUCGCUUGUUCGUUCCUCUUUCUCUUUUUC